CCUACGGGUGGCAGCAGUGAGGAAUAUUGGUCAAUGGGCGCGAGCCUGAACCAGCCAAGUCGCGUGAGGGAAGACGGUCCUCUGGAUUGUAAACCUCUUUUGUCGGGGAGCAAAAGACGCCACGCGUGGCGUUCCGAGCGUACCCGAAGAAAAAGCAUCGGCUAAGUCCGUGCAAGCAGCCGCGGUAAUACGGGGGAUGCGAGCGUUAGCCGGAUGUAUUGGGUUUAAAGGGGGCGCAGGCGGUCUGUUAAGUCAGGGGUAAAAGCCCGGGGCUCAACCCCGGCCCGCCGUUGAGACUGGCAGGCUAGAGUUGGAGAGAGGUAUGCGGAAUGCGCGGUGUAGCGGUGAAAUGCAUAGAUAUCGCGAAGAACUCCGAUUGCGAAGGCAGCAUGCCGGCUCCACACUGACGCUGAGGCACGAAAGCGUGGGUAGCGAACAGGAUUAGAUACCCCGGUAGUC
rnacentral:rRNA from 1 species